rnacentral:piRNA from 1 species
UGCUGACACACCAGUCUGGAGGCCAAGA